rnacentral:piRNA from 1 species
UGCCCUAGAAUGUAUGAAGGCUGGGUGCUAU